rnacentral:rRNA from 2 species
CAACCUCAGAUCAGGUAGGACUACCC